rnacentral:rRNA from 1 species
UACGUAGGGUGCAAGCGUUAAUCGGAAUUACUGGGCGUAAAGCGUGCGCAGGCGGUUUUGUAAGACAGGCGUGAAAUCCCCGGGCUUAACCUGGGAAUUGCGCUUGUGACUGCAAGGCUAGAGUACGGUAGAGGGGGGUAGAAUUCCGCGUGUAGCAGUGAAAUGCGUAGAUAUGCGGAGGAACACCGAUGGCGAAGGCAGCCCCCUGGACCUGUACUGACGCUCAUGCACGAAAGCGUGGGGAGCAAACAGG